rnacentral:rRNA from 1 species
UUUAACUGAGCGUUCAGUUACUUGACGUAGACCCGAAACCGGGCGACCUACCCAUGAGCAGGAUGAAGCGAAAGUAAAAUUUCGUGGAGGUCCGAACCCACGAGCGUUGAAAAGCUCGGGGAUGACUUGUGGGUAGCGGUGAAAUUCCAAUCGAGCCCGGAGAUAGCUGGUUCUCCCCGAAAUAGCUUUAGGGCUAGCCUCAAGGUGAGAGAUACGGAGGUAGAGCACUGAAUGUCCUAGGGGGUAUUGCACCUACCGAAGACUAUCAAACUCCGAAUGCCGUCAUCUUAUACUUGGGAGUCAGACUGUGGGUGAUAAGAUUCAUAGUCGAAAGGGCAACAGCCCAGAUCGUCAGCUAAGGUCCCUAAAUGUAAGUUAAGUGGUAAAGGAUGUGGGAUUGCACAGACAACCAGGAUGUUGGCUUAGAAGCAGCCACUCAUUCAAAGAGUGCGUAAUAGCUCACUGGUCGAGUGAUCCUGCGCCGAAGAUUUCCGGGGCUAAAACUUACUACCGAAGCUACGGCAUCAGUAAUGAUGGGUAGGGGAGCUUCCCAUACGGGUUGAAGCAUGACCGUAAGGACAUGUGGACAGUAUGGGAGUGAGAAUGUUGGCAUGAGUAGCGAGAUGUGGGUGAGAAUCCCACAGGCCGUAAACCCAAGGUUUCCAGGGGAAGGUUCGUCCGCCCUGGGUUAGUCGGGACCUAAGCUGAGGCCGAAAGGCGUAGGUGAUGGACAACA